UACGAAGGGGGCUAGCGUUGUUCGGAAUUACUGGGCGUAAAGCGCACGUAGGCGGAUAUUUAAGUCAGGGGUGAAAUCCCAGAGCUCAACUCUGGAACUGCCUUUGAUACUGGGUAUCUUGAGUAUGGAAGAGGUGAGUGGAAUUCCGAGUGUAGAGGUGAAAAUUCGUAGAUAUUCGGAGGAACACCAGUGGCGAAGGCGGCUCACUGGUCCAUUACUGACGCUGAGGUGCGAAAGCGUGGGGAGCAAACAGGG
rnacentral:rRNA from 1 species